ACCACCAUAACACUGUCGGAAGAAGGCGGCGCCCGUUUGUGCAGCUGAAUACCCGCAUGUCAUCUGUUUGUUGAUGUGUACCAAUAUUAUGUGUGACAAAGGCUACCUUUUCUGUGAAUAAUAUUAAUUUAGCGUGUAUUGGUUGUUAUUUGGCUUAUUUACGCUCCACGAUUUUGUCAAACUUACUUUUUCAGCUCAAGCUAGCACCGAACCUAGGAUUAGCAUGUCCUCUGAGGGUCUCAGUCGGCACCAGAAGAAGCAUCAGUAACGGGCAGUAAUUCAAAAUGAGUAAAAGUUUGCUUUCCUGUGUGAAGAAUAGAAGUCUGUGGACGUCUUUUCGCAAGUGUGUCACAACAUGGUCACCUGUUGGUGCAGCUUUCAAUGCCAAACCUCACAAGAGACUGGAAGCGUUUGAGAAAAAUGUGGGUUUGUUUGGCUUGCCAGAGCUGAGUUCUCCGGCUGGAUUUCAGGUGGCCACAAAGGUGGCUCUAAAGAACACACAGCUGCUAAUAAAAAAAGUGUGUACUUCUGCUCCAGGGCUUGAGACUGUCACAGCUUUUGACCAGCUCUCUGAUGGUCUUUGUAAAGUGGCGGACUUGGCGGAUUUUGUUAAAGUAGCACAUCCUGAUCCAGUGUACCGCGAGGCCGCAGAGAAGACCUGCAUUGAGAUCGGCACAGUCGUGGAGAAGUUGAACACCAAUGUGGAGCUAUGCAACAGUUUGAAGAAUUUGCUGGACAGGCCGGAUCUUGUGGCCCAGCUGGACUCAGACACAAGGAGAGUGGCAGAGUUAUUUAUGUUUGACUUUGAAAUCAGCGGGAUUCAUCUCGAUGAGAAACUGAGGAAAGAGGCAGUUGCUCUCCACGUGAAGCUCUUGGAUUUAAACAAUGAAUUCCUGGUUGGCUCUCACAUGCCCAACAGAGUCGCCAGGUCAGCCAUUCCCGAACAUCUCCACUUGCACUUUGCCAGCACAGGAAGUUUUGUGGAAAUUGGAGGAUUACACGCUGACUCUCCGGAUGACUUGGUCCGAGAAAUCGCCUACAGGGUUUAUCUGUAUCCAAACGUAGACCUGAUGGAAUGUCUGGAAGAACUCCUAAGAUGCAGAUAUAAGCUGGCCAAACUGGUGGGAUACGACUCCUAUGCCCACAGAGCCUUGAAGGGAACAAUGGCAACAACCCCAGAAACAGUGAUGAGAUUUCUUCAACUCUUAACAGAUAAGCUGUCAGACAGAACAACAAAGGACUUUGAUAUGAUGAGUGACAUGAAGAAAAAACUCAACCCUCGGCAUUCGGAGCUCAUGCCGUGGGAUCACCCGUUCCUCAGUGGAGUAUUGCGUGCCGAAAGGUACAACAUCGAACCCAGUCUGUACAGCCCUUACUUUUCCCUGGGGGCCUGCAUGGACGGUUUGAACAUUCUCUUCUCUCGGCUCUACGGUGUCUCCCUCAUGUCCGAACACCCCAACGCUGGAGAGGUGUGGAGCGACGACGUGCGCAAAUUGGCUGUAGUUCAUGAAACAGAGGGAUUACUUGGAUAUAUCUACUGUGACUUUUUUCAGCGGAAAGACAAACCUCAUCAGGACUGUCACUUCACUAUCCGGGGCGGUCGCUGGUGCCAGGAAACGGGUCAGUACCAGCUGCCUGUUGUGGUUCUGAUGCUGAGCCUGCCCCACCCCACCAGAAGUGCCCCCACCCUGCUAUCCCCAGGCAUGAUGGAGAACCUCUUCCACGAGAUGGGACACGCCAUGCAUUCAAUGCUAGGGCGCACUCGUUACCAGCAUGUUACAGGAACUAGAUGUGCAACAGAUUUUGCAGAAGUGCCCUCCAUCCUCAUGGAGUACUUUGCCUCUGACUAUCGAGUCGUCAGCCAGUUUGCACGUCAUUAUGAAACUGGACAGCCUCUGCCUGAGAGUAUGGUGACCCGCCUGUGUGAGUCCAAGAAGGUGUGCGGUGCUGCAGACACCCAGUUGCAGAUUUUCUAUGCUGCACUGGACCAGAUAUACCACAGUAAACCCCAAAAUCUCUCCACCACUGAACUACUGAAGGAGAUGCAGCAGAAGUUCUACGGCUUGCCUUACACACCAAAUACAGCUUGGCAGCUGAGAUUUAGCCAUCUCAUUGGUUAUGGAGCCAAAUACUAUUCUUACCUCAUGUCCAGAGCCGUGGCCUCCAUGGUGUGGAAGCAGUGCUUCGUUCAGGAUCCUUUAAACAGGGAAAUGGGUGAGCGUUACCGUCGAGAGAUGUUAGCCCAUGGAGGAGCCAAGGAGCCCAUGUUGAUGGUAGAAGGUAUGCUUCAAAGGCGUCCUACCAUCGAGGACUUCGUGGAGGCGCUGGUGUCGGAGCUCCAGCCAAACUUUGAGACAUUCAUCAUGGACUCAGAGACCUGAGAGGUGCUUUUAUGCCCUCAGGACAUUUGCUAGAGUAGCCAAAUGUAUGUACAAUAGACCACAAUAUGUGGGCAUACAUACAUGCAAGGCCUUCCUACCUAAUCUGUAAUUAUUAAAAGGUCAAGGUUGAGCUCUAGCCCAUCCCAGCUGACCUGCAUGACAGGUUGCCUACACCCUUGACUGAUUAUCAGCCAAUCACAGGGUACAUAUAGAGAAACCAUUAUUCACACCAAUGACAAUUUGGUUAACCUAAAAAGCAUGUUUGGGGGAUGAAGGGGGAUAGCAAGCAAGUGCUACCUGUUGUAGUAAUAACCAAAUGAAUACUUUCCGAACUUACCAUUGAAAUGACGUGUUCCCAGAACAGCAAUGGGUAUUUUUUUUCUUGAUCGUAUCCAUUACUUUAUGCAAAGCGUAUUAAUAGCAGACAUAGCAAAUACUUACACUUUUGCCACCUCUUGUGCUCCUUGUGAAAGAAAUGUGAUACUAAAUCAGUGUUUCUUUCUUAUUAUACGUACAGUCUAUUAAGACAAUAGUGUGUUUGAAAGGGUCGGAUCAAAUGCUUUCGCGUCGUACUUGGUUCCCCUCCCUGGCUGUAGAUAGAAAGAGUUGGAAAUCCCCAUGAAACCUGCAUCCCUUUGGCAACCGUGAUGUAAUAUUAACGCCGGGUGCUGGGUCAUGCUAAAGCCAUACACUGACAUGUGAGCCUGUGCUAUGCUUAGUAGUUCACAUUAAGUAGUUCAUAUUAACAUUUUCAUACAGUUGUUAGCAGCUGAGGUGAUGUUGCAACUACUUCCUGCAGCUGUUGACACCCCGUCACCACUACCUUUAGCCUAGCACGAUUCUGAACCAGAGGCGGGCGGUAUAAAGCGGUAAUAAAAGUGGCGGGCAGCAGACAGGCUACUCUGAUGACCAGUGGUGGGGAAGAAAUGAACUAUAAAUACUUUAACUGUAGAUUUUCAGGUAUCUAUGCUUCUGAUGAUAUUCCCCAUUAUUUGAUGUUAUGGACUCCAAGAAUUAUUUGUCUAAGGCUAAAAACGAGCUUCUGCUGUUCUGUUGUUUUAUCUGAAAUAAUCAUCUGAUGAUAGUUUUUUGCUAAUUUUGCAUUUUUUUGUUAGAACAUAUUUUUAUUUCAGAAAAGCCAGAGUCAGCUCUAUCUAGAUAGCUAUUAAUAUAGGUAUUCUAUAUUAUUCCAACAGAAGUACCUGGUCAAAACACAUGCAAGACCGGGAAGAACGCAACCCCCCCACGGGAAGGCAAGAGCCCUGAUUCGAACCGCAACCUCAGAAUUGUGAGGCAGAUAAGCCGAACACUCUUUCACUGUUCGUAAGUGACAGUAAAAAACAAAAGGUUUUUACUUUUGCAAAAAAAAAUUCAAGACAGAACAUUAUUGUCUUUAUAAAGGCAGAUGGAUUGGCUUUGUGUAUGAAGGUGUAGCUACUGAUCAAAAAAUGAACAUUUGUCUGUUCAAGUGUUUUAUUUACAAAGGUGUAAAACAAGUACAUGGAUCAUCAACACUACAAAUGCCGCACACAAUCAGUCAUGUCUGUUACAAAAAUACGCAGCUAUUUACUAUUUUACAUUAUCCACAAGUCACUUGACCGCAUGUACUCAAGAUUGUCUUCAGUGUGAUUUUCGUUCAUGUCACGACUAAAUACGCACAAUGCCAGACGUGACAUGA